GGGAGGUGUAUCAGUGAAACUCCAAGAGGAGGCAGGAAAGCACAUCAUCCCAUUUCACUGCAUGCCUCAUAGAUUGGAGCUUGCCCUACUCUCUGCUCAGAAGGAUUCACCUUGGGUAGGCAAUGUGUACAACCUGCUCCACUUAAUUUGAAAGACCUAUCACUUCAGCUCUAAAUCCAGAAGGGAAUUAAAAUGCCUUGGAGUCGAACUGGGUGUAUCGGUGAACAAUCCAAGUGGUGUCAAGGGCACAAGAUGGUUGCCACAUUUCUAGGGCAUUGGAUGUGCUGCUGAAGCAAGAGAAGAAGGAGGGGACCCUGGACGAUUCUGGGCAGCACACAGCAGUAUUUGCUCAUAUGGACCACCUGGCUGCAUCAUCAACAAAUGCUGAUAUAGCUGGCAGAGCAAAGCAUAUCAAGGAGACAAUGGAGGAUGGCUCAUUUCUGGCUUUCUGCCAUUUCUUGGCAGAUUUAUUUUCUGCCAUCAGUAAAUACAGCUUGUUACUUCAAAGAAAUGAUGUGAUCCUCCCCCA